GACGAACGCUGGCGGCGUGCUUAACACAUGCAAGUCGAACGGAAAGGCCCUGCUUUUGUGGGGUGCUCGAGUGGCGAACGGGUGAGUAACACGUGAGUAACCUGCCCUUGACUUUGGGAUAACUUCAGGAAACUGGGGCUAAUACCGGAUAGGAGCUCCUGCUGCAUGGUGGGGGUUGGAAAGUUUCGGCGGUUGGGGAUGGACUCGCGGCUUAUCAGCUUGUUGGUGGGGUAGUGGCUUACCAAGGCUUUGACGGGUAGCCGGCCUGAGAGGGUGACCGGCAAAAUUGGGAUUGAGAUAGGGCCAAGCUUCCUCCGGGAGGAAGAAGUGGGGAAUAUUGAAAAAUGGGCGGAAGCCUGAUGCAGCAACGCCGGGUGGGGGAUGAGGGCCUUGGGUUUGUAAACCGCUUUCGCCGGUGACGAAGCGUGAGUGACGGUAAGGGGUAAAGAAGACCCGGCUAACUACGUG
rnacentral:rRNA from 1 species